UACAGGGGGUGCAAACGUUGCUCGGAAUCAUUGGGCGUAAAGCGCACGUAGGCGGUCUGUUAUGUCGGAUGUGAAAGCCCUUGGCUCAACUGAGGAAGUGCAUCCGAAACUGGCAGGCUAGAGUACUAAAGAGGAUCGCGGAAUUCCCGGUGUAGUGGUGAAAUGCGUAGAUAUCGGGAGGAACACCAGUGGCGAAGGCGGCUUCCUGGCCUGUUCUUGACGCUGAGGCGCGAAAGCUAGGGGAGCAAACGGG
rnacentral:rRNA from 1 species